rnacentral:rRNA from 1 species
UACGAAGGGGGCUAGCGUUGUUCGGAUUUACUGGGCGUAAAGCGCACGUAGGCGGAUUGGUCGAGUUAGGGGUCGGAAAUCCCGGGGCCUCGAAACCCCGGAACUUGCCUUUAAUACUGGCAUCUCGAGUCCGAGAGAGGUGAGUGGAAUUCGAGUGUAGAGUGAAAUUCGUAGAUAUUGGAGGAACACCAGUGGCGAAGGCGGCUCACUGGCUCGGUACUGACGCUGAGGUGGCGAAA